rnacentral:rRNA from 1 species
GACAGAGGGGGCAAGCGUUGCUCGGAAUCACUGGGCGUAAAGGGCGCGUAGGCGGGAUGGCAAGUCAGUCGUGAAAUCUCUCGGCUCAACCUGGGGGCUGCGUUUGAUACGUGCGGGCUUGAGUUCGGAAGAGGGUCGUGGAAUUCCCAGUGUAGAGGUGAAAUUCGUAGAUAUUGGGAAGAACACCGGUGGCGAAGGCGGCGACCUGGUCCGAUACUGACGCUGAGGCGCGAAAGCGUGGGGAGCAAACAGG